ensembl:lncRNA
ACUAUUUGCCUUAGAGCACAACUAGGCUCCUAUGCAUCUGCAAAGGGGACAAGACAAUCCAGAAGACUUGACAUUGAUCUGAUACGGAUGAAUAGAUCUGCCUGCCUUUCCUGGAGGAGACACUCAUGAGCUCUGAACUGGCUUGAAUUUUGAUGAGAACUUACCAUCUUUUGAAGCAUUUUCACCAGACAAGUCCCACAGUAAGAGCAGAGCCACUUGAGACUUGAUGUCCUCUGUGUCCAGCAAUAUCCUUCUGUCCUGUACAACAAGGUCUGGAGAGGGGGACUGUAAUCAAGCUCCCUUCUUCUGAGGAGCUGGCAGACCCUAAAGAUGGCAUAGGACAUCUCAUAGGAGGCUGCUUUAUUUGGAGAGCAACUACAUCACAUUUCUGCCUCUUUGUGCAAGGAAAAGGGUUUCUAUAUCUUCACUCUGGUUUUGUUUCCAUGAGUAACUCAGAAGGAUUUUCCAAAGAAGCGAGGAAGGAAGGUCAGCAACUAAAGCUGGUCAGGCAUUUUCCAGAACUUGAAACUUUUUUGUUCGUGAGCAAAAGGCCAACGGAAAUCAGGAAGUUUCAAACUCUACCUCACUUCCUGCCACCUCGCUUCCUAGCUGGUCACCAGCUAUGUGCCUGUCCAGCAUGGGGGGCUUUAAGGUCUGCCCCAGACUGAGCUGGGAAAUAAUGAACACUCCUAUCCUCCCUGCCUCAAAAAAGCAAGCAAACAAACAAAACCUAGUUGGUCUUGCUUUUGCAGGAUUUAAAAACCCUGUCCUAAUAAGCUACAGUCUCAUUUAGAGCUGCAUUACCAGAUAUGCUGAGACACAAAAUCAUCUCCUACUUUCAUCAUUUCUCUACUUCCCAAAUGCUACCUCUUCCUCCACACGUUUAUCCUUUAUCAAAGGCAGGACAGAAUUUUUAUUUUCUUUUGUUCUCCCUGCUCUUAGUGCCAGUAUCAGCAACUGCAAGCUCCCCUCCAUCCCCUAGUUUCUCAGCAGACAGUUGCACUGAGCAUUAGGUGCACACAUGUGCUGUGCCCAUGACGUGCUUUCAAAGUAUUUUUAGAAUUUUGUUAAUAGGGAUUCAGAUAAAGCAGUUGCAUUCCUGUGUUUAUUUAGUUAUGGAAAAAUCAGGUCAAUUCCAUUUUCAGAGUGUUUAAGUUUUGAAUAUUUUGAAAAAAGUCUGCUUAUUCCACACUAAAAAUGUAACAAGUUAUUUUUAGUUAUAUUGAAUAUUUAUAUCUGUUUACUUGAUUAGUACUGUUAGCAUAGCUUUGUGAACAGUGUGGAUUCAUCACUUGGAUAUAAAGUUUGAGCUCAGCUUUUUCUUAAAGUAUAUUAAUACUCUAGAGAUAAAUCAAAGUCUUCUUGGAAACUAUUUGGUUUUGGUAGCUUGUACUUCAAGUACUUCUUGCAAUGAAUGAUAUAUCAUGAUAAAAUAUUCAAACAAAAACUGGUACAGGAUCUCAAAAUAUUCAGACGCUAAUCCACAGUUUUUAUGGACCUUAAAUAGUCCUCAUGUUAUUCAGGCUACCUUAACUGCAAGAUAUCCAUUUUUGACAAAAUAAAGUGUGACCAGAUGCCC